UACGGAGGGGGCAAGCGUUGUUCGGAUUUACUGGGCGUAAAGGGUGUGCAGGCGGCCGUGCAAGUCUGGCGUGAAAUCUUCGCCGCUUAACGGGAAGAGGUCGCUGGAAACUGCAUGGCUCGAGUAUGGUAGAGGCGGGCGGAAUUCCUGGUGUAGCGGUGGAAUGUUCAGAUAUCAGGAAGAACACCUGUGGCGAAGGCGGCCCGCUGGGCCAUCACUGACGCUGAGACACGAAAGCGUGGGUAGCAAACGGG
rnacentral:rRNA from 1 species